CAAAAGAAGACUUUGAUCCUGGGUUAGAAAGAACGCUAGUUAUAUGCAUAACACAUGCAAGUCGAACGUUGUUUUUGGGGAUCUAGGCAGAAGGAAAAGAGGCUCCUAGAUAAAGGUAGCUUCGCUCGCGCAGAAGGUUAGACGAGUUGACAACAAAGUGGUGAAUGGGUGCGUAACGCAUGGGAAUCUGCCAAACAGUUCGGGCCAAAUCCUGAAGAAAGCUAAAAAGGUUGUUUGAUGAACCUGUGUAGUAUAAGGUAGUUGGUCAGGUAAAGGCUCACCAAGCCUAUGAUGCAUCGCAAGUCUUUUUGGAUGAUCAGCCACACUGGGACUGAGACACCGCCUUGACUCCCACGGGGGGCAGCAGUGGGGAAUCUUGGACAAUCGGAGGAAGACCGAUUAGGCAAUAUCGCAUGAGUGAAGAAGGUCAAUGUUGUAAUUCUCUUUUGUCGAGUGCGUGAUCAUGACAGUACUCGAGGAAGAAGCCCCGGCUAACUCCGAGCAAGCAGCCGCAAUAAGUCAGGGGGAAAAUGUUUUUCGGAAUGAUUGGGCAUAAAGGGCACGUAGGCGGUGAAUCUGUGCUGCAUGUCUAUCGUCAGCUCGUGCCAUGAGAUAUUUGGUCAAAUCCUUUUACGAGAUAAACCCUCAUUUUAUGUUGAUGAGACAUGUGGCUAAGGAAAAAAUCUUUGCAACCAAAGUGAUCUCAGGAGACGAGUGAUGCCCCAGCUACAAAUUGAGUGCCAGCACCUAGCUGUACUGUUAGUAAGAAGGUAGCCGGCAUCUUUCGAAGCACUUUCUAUUUCUAGUUAACGUUAUUUUUUUAUUGCAGGUAGCGCGCUUGACUAAUAAUAUAGAAAGGGCCUUUCUCACUUGUUUAGUAAUGUCAAGUUUUUUGGUCUUAUCUUGCAGGUGACGACGACGUCGAGUUGACGGCAGAUAAAGACUCGGCAUUCACGAUAGCCAACCGAUAGUGUGGUACGUAGUUGGUUUAGUAUGCCCCACCCAAACAAAUGGAUUUGAAACAAACAAAAACGUGUGUGCCGCACUCACAAAGGACUUCCAGUGAUAUACUGGAGGACGGUGGGGAUGACGUCAAGUCUGCAUGGCCCUUAUGGGCUGGGCCACACACAUGAUACAAUGGCAAUUACGAUGGGAACGAUGAUUUUAAGGCGGAGCAAAUGCAAAAAGAUUGCUUCAGUUAGGAUUGUUCUCUGCAACUCGGGAACAUGAAGGUUGAAUCGCUAGUAAUUGCAGAUCAGCAUGCCGCGGUGAAUAUGUACCCAUGCCCUGUACACACCGCCUAUCACACACUAGGAAUUGGUUUCGCCCGAAGCAUCAGACCAAUGAUCACCCAUUAAUUCUUUGGCACACUAGUGCCACAAAGGCCUUUGGUAGUCUUAUUGGAGCAUACCACGGUAGGGUCUUCGAAUGGGGUGAAGUUGUAACAAGGUUUCCGUAUGGGAACCGGUGGCUAGAUUGAAUCGUUC
rfam:Solanum lycopersicum cultivar Heinz 1706 chromosome 9, whole genome shotgun sequence.